GAGGGUGUAGCUCAGUUGGUAGAGUGCUUGCUUAGCAUGCAUGAGGCCCUGGGUUCAAUCCCCAGUACCUCCA
rnacentral:tRNA from 1 species